GAUGUAGCAAUACAUUGAGUGGCGCACGGGUGAGUAAUGCAUGGGAGAUCUGCCCUUUGGAGAAGGAUAGCCACGGGAAACUGUGGAUAAUACGUCGUAAGCAGUAUGAUAGCGAGAUUGUACUGGAAAGGUUGGGACCGCAAGGCCAGCCGCCGAAGGAUGAGCCCAUGUCCCCAUUAGCUAGUUGGUAGGGUAAAAGCCAACCAAGGCGAAGAUGGGUAGCUGGUCUGAGAGGAUGAUCAGCCACACUGGAACUGAGACACGGUCCAGACUCCUACGGGAGGCAGCAGUGGGGAAUAUUGCGCAAUGGACGCAAGUCUGACGCAGCAACGCCGCGUGAGUGAAGAAGGCCUUUGGGUUGUAAAGCUCUUUCGGCUGGGAAGAAGGGUGGAGGUGUGAAUAGCAUUUCUAUUUGAUGGUACCAGAAGAAGAAGCACCGGCUAACUCCGUGCCAGCAGCCGCGGUAA
rnacentral:rRNA from 1 species